UAGGGAAUCUUCGGCAUUGGGGGCAACCCUGACCGAGCAACGCCGCGUGAGUGAAGAAGGUUUUCGGAUCGUAAAGCUCUGUUGUAAGAGAAGAACGUGUGUGAGAGUGGAAAGUUCACACAGUGACGGUAACUUACCAGAAAGGGACGGCUAACUACGUGCCAGCAGCCGCGGUAAUACGUAGGUCCCGAGCGUUGUCCGGAGUUAUUGGGCGUAAAGCGAGCGCAGGCGGUUUAAUAAGUCUGAAGUUAAAGGCAGUGGCUUAACCAUUGUUUGCCUUGGAAACUGGUAAACGUGAAUGCAGAAGGGGGGAGUGGAAUUCCAUGUGUAACGGUGAAAUGCGUAGAUAUAUGGAGGAACACCGGUUGCGAAAGCGGCUCUCUGGUCUGUAACUGACGCUGAGGCUCGAAAGCGUGGGGAGCAAACAGG
rnacentral:rRNA from 1 species